rnacentral:rRNA from 1 species
AGAUGGCGACCGGCGCACGGGUGAGUAACACGUAUCCAACCUGCCGAUAACUCGGGGAUAGCCUUUCGAAAGAAAGAUUAAUACCCGAUGGUAUAAUCAGGCCGCAUGGUUUGAUUAUUAAAGAAUUUCGGUUAUCGAUGGGGAUGCGUUCCAUUAGGCAGUUGGUGAGGUAACGGCUCACCAAACCUUCGAUGGAUAGGGGUUCUGAGAGGAAGGUCCCCCACAUUGGAACUGAGACACGGUCCAA